rnacentral:lncRNA from 1 species
AACAAAUCAACUAUGUCAAGUAUAAAUCAUGCAUAACAAUCUUAGGUUUCAUUUGAAUUUUUCACGUACACGGUUUUGUUUGAAUUCUGCUUUGUGUCUAGUGCCUUGUCUCUAUGCUCUAUUUGCAUUGGAUUGAGAAAGAAUAAUACACUUAAACAAUUUAAACUGAGAGACUAGAGUCAUAAUAAUGAAGAAAAAAAAUCACAAGAUUUAGGGAAUUACUCAUUACAGUAAACAGGCCAUAGGGAACAAAGGCUUUGUUUUCCUCCUAACAAAAAUAAAAAAGAGGAAUGAUGAGUUUCGAGAAUAGGAGAAUUUUUAUGUUCACUGGGAUAGCACUGCAGACUUAACUCCUAUUUUCAGAGAUGCAAGUCAAAAUCCUCUGUGCAGUGUCAGCCCGGGUAGUGAGAGACCUAAGAGAAGGCAGACAAGGAAGAAGAUAGCAAGUGUGGUAAACAGAGUUGUUCCAAUAUAGAAUCUUCUCUUUUCAUAAUCAGCUCUCCACAUUCUGCAGGAAGCUGAAAGUUCUGUUUCUCAGACCCCCUUGCAGUGACAUCGACUCUUCCAGUCAGAUACACAUGCACGGGACUUAUAUUCAGAACUGAAUUAAAUGGACAGAGAGAUCACACUUGAGAUAUAAUCAGCAAGUGCUGAUUAGCAGACACUGUGUGACUCUGAAAUCAACAGUUCUCAAAGUGGCUUCUGGAUUGCCCCAUUCUCCAAUGGUAUGUUCCCGGAGAGGCUGAGGAGCAUAAUACUGGAGAGAGAGACUAAGACAACGGUUUCCUUGGCAGGCCAGUUCAUUCUUGGACAUCCACUAGAAAGCCUGCUCCUCCAGUUAUUCCAGGGAUUUCUUUAAGCACCAAUUCAUGAAUGAUUCCACUGAAGAUAUUGAAUAAUAUUGAAGAAAAAUAUGGAAGAUCAUGGGACAUUCUUAGUUUAAACAUCUUGUCUGAUAAUGAAGUGAAAACUGGUCCCUUUGGCCAUGUGAGGACACCCACUGCACAUUUCCAGUCUCCUGCUGCCUCUGACAAGUUUGUGGCAUGCACCAACUGCUUGACCAGGGCAAGCUUAAGCUAAUUCCAAUGUGAAAUAUACAUCAGCAAUCAUCAAUUAAAAAUUCUUGGCAAAGUUAAGCAAUGCUGAAUCUGUCCCCUGGGUUAUAACUCAUGUGCUCUACAACAAUUAUGGGAAAACAACCUGUUAAGAAUAUAGACAUUAAGGUCAUUUAUUAGGUAACUUACAUAGGAAUUUUGUUGUUGUUAUUUUAAGGGAAGAGUUUUCCCUGAGAAACCCAGAUGCCUCAUUCAUAGAAAAAAAAAUGGUGACACCAGAAAAACAUUUCAUCUCUUGGCUAUACAGUUCUGAAAUCCUGAGAGUGAAUUCUUUUGAUCUCCAUUCUCUGGAACACAGGGCACCUGUAAAGCAGACCCAGCCACAAAUGAAAACCACAUAAAUGAAAGGCAAAUAUGGAUAGAAUUAGUACUCACAACUUGCAACAUAUGUUGAGUAAGAGCUUUCUCUGUGGUCAGAGCCUGCAGACAUUCUAUUCUAAAAAGUGUCCAGCUCCUGUCCACUUGUAUUUUUGAUCAGAUUUGUGAGAGGUUUUUUGGUUUUUGUUGUUUUUUUUUUUUUUUUGCUUUAGUUUUUCCUUUUUCUUUUUUCCUGGCUGCAACUCAACAAAUAUAGAAAAACUUUAAUUUAUUUACUGUUUCAGAGAUUGUGAUCUAUAUCCUUCAACUGUACUCCAUUCCUGCCAAAUAUAUUGACAAUGGAAAAAUGUGUAAUGGGCACAAAGAAACUUGCUGGAAGAGAUAAAGUUUUACCAGUUGCUACUUUAUUUAAUGUUCUACCUAUUACCAAAGCACUUGAUAGUUCAAUACAAUCAACUCUCUAUAUAUUAUUUUAAAAUGAAGAUGACUGGGGAUCCCUGGGUGGCUUAGCGGUUUAGCGCCUGCCUUUGGCCCAGGGCGCAAUCCUGGAGUCCCGGGGUCAAGUCCCACGUCGGGCUCCUGGCAUGGAGCCUGCUUCUCUCUCUGCCUGUGUCUCUGCCUCUCUCUCUCUCUCUCUAUGUCUAUCAUGAAUAAAUAAAAUCUUUUAAAAAUAAAUAUAAAUAAA